rnacentral:rRNA from 1 species
UGUGGCAGCGAUGUCACAGACUGGAAACAGUACCUGUACAGGUGCUGCAUGGCUGUCGUCAGCUCGUGCCGUGAGGUGUUGGGUUAAGUCCCGCAACGAGCGCAACCCUACUGCCAGUUACUAACAGGUAACGCUGAGGACUCUGGCGGAACUGCCGGUGACAAACCGGAGGAAGGUGGGGAUGACGUCAAGUCAUCAUGGCCCCUAUGUCCAGGGCUACACACGUGCUACAAUGGGCGAUACAGAGUGACGCGAAGCCGCGAGGUGGAGCAAAUCGCACGAAAAUCGCUCUCAGUUCGGAUUGGAGUCUGAAACCCGACUCCAUGAAGGUGGAAUCGCUAGUAAUCGCGCAUCAGCAUGGCGCGGUGAAUACGUUCCCGGGCCUU